GGUGAUGCUUGACUUUGUUGUACAGCUGCAGUUUGUGUGGUGAAGGUGCUCCCACAAUGUGGUUGGGAUACUACAGGUGGACAUUCAGAUGGUAAUCUCAGUCAUUGUAACACCAAACUCUGAUUGAAUUAGUCAGUUCAUCAGGACCUGGAUAUUCGCAUUGUGUGGUGCUACAUGGUGAAGGUUUGCAGACUGAAAUCUCAAAAUCAUGUGCAGAUUGUGAUUAAGUUAACCAGCAUUUGAAGAACCAAAGAUAGAGA